AUCCUCCCCGGCCAGGAUACGAACCCCUGACAUAGCGCUCGCGGAACGCCAGGCGAGUGUCUUACCACUACACCACGGAGACUUUAAUUCUUUAAUAUACUGAAUUCUUAUUAUGUAAGGUUAUGUCUUAUAAUCUUUAUUUUGUUGUAUAUUAAAUUAGAAGUUCAUGAGUGAGUUAUGUUUGUAAAUGAACUAGAGAGAUUUGAAAGAGAGGGGUCAGUUGACUCAUUGAAGUUGGAUACAGUGUCACGCCCCAGCCAGGCUGGCUGAAGGCCCCACUACUCCUUGACUUUCCCAGACGAGCGCAUGUGUGGCGUUCUGCUCCGAGAUUUGGGACCUUAUUUAGAGUUAAUCAAGAGAAAAUUUCCGGCCAAAAUGUUUCCGUGGUUCGAUCCAUAGCCCUUCAUAUGUGGUCCUAAAGAUUUACAGCUGUGCUUUGGGACGACCUUGAAUCAACGCCGCUCAGAGAUCCUUCUUGAGGUUAUCUUGAGAUGAUUUCGGGGUUUUAGUGUCCCUGCGGCCCAGUCCUCGACCAGGCCUCCACCCCCAG